CCCUUAGAUCACUGAAGGAGUUGUUGUACCAUGUGCUGCGCAUCAUCUAGGAGCAGCAGCAGAGCUGUUGGUGGUGCUCAGGGGUGAUGGGCCCUCCAGGAUCUGCUGGCCAUCAAGGAGCCCAUGGGAAGCACCAGACAACCCUCCCAAGAUGCCAGCACCAUCGGUGUGAGCCUAUAAUACUUCAGAGCUAAAAGAAGCAGCUCUUCCUUUCUGCACAAAUGUUUUCCUGGAGAGUUUCUCAUGGCGGAAGAAAGCAAAACAAGCUGUGCUAGGCGAGUGUCAGCUUGGAAGGAGGAGUCCUCCCCAGAGCAGCUCCCGCCCUGAUGAGGUUCAAGCUGCUCUGGCUCAGGUCGCUGCAGCCUGUGAGAAGAAGCACCCAUGGAGUGCUGCCAUGUUGCAUGUCAUGUAGCAGGACAGCACUGGGCCAGCUUGGGCAAGAGGAAACAGCAGUUUUUCCUAGCUGCAAAUGCAUCCCUGCUUGGUAGAGUGCCUGUGAAUUCAGGAGAGACUCCCUAGUUGACCUUUCACAAGUUUUGUUCUUUGGAGCACAUCACUCACCGGGUAAACUUUGCUGAUGCCCUCUGCAUUACUCAUCCACCCUACCCCACACUGAGGAGUCCCAUGCCACUUUUUGAGGAAUAUCACUUGACUUAUCUAGCUGCACUGG